AUGGAUGGCGUCGCGGGCCGCCUCCCUCCUGCCCGCGGCGUCGGGUCCCGGCCGGCUCUUGCUCCGGCGCCCCGCCCCGCGCCCUUGUGGCCCGUCGGCGACUCCUCCUCCCCUCCCCACCUGCGGCCCGUGGGAUCUGGUGGGCACGGUCGUGCUGGCGGAGGAUCUGGGCAUCCCGGCCCAAAUCCGGUGGAUGUGCGGGUCAUCGAUGGCGGGGGUGGCCGGCGACCCCGUGGAGGUGGUGGUGUGGCGGCCGGUGUCCGUGCUGCUCCGGUGCUGGGUGGCUGGGCGUCGGGUGGUGCUGACCAGGGCGUGGAGGCGCAGGUGAUGUGGUGCUGGCAGGUUGACUGCGGCGGCGGCCAGACUGUUCUGGCGUCGGCUCGUUUGUAG
rnacentral:rRNA from 1 species